AUUGAACGCUGGCGGCAGGCCUAACACAUGCAAGUCGAACGAGUGGCGGACGGGUGAGUAAUGUCUGGGAAACUGCCUGAUGGAGGGGGAUAACUACUGGAAACGGUAGCUAAUACCGCAUACUAUCGGAUGUGCCCAGAUGGGAUAAGCUAGUAGGUGGGGGAACGGCUCACCUAGGCGACGAUCCCUCGCUGGUCUGAGAGGAUGACCAGCCACGUUGGAACUUAGACACGGUCCAAACUCCUACGGGAGGCAGCCGUGGGAAAUAUUGCACAAUGGGCGCAAGCCUGAUGAAGCCAUGCCGCGUGUAUGAAGAUGGCCUUCGGGUUGUAAAGUACUUUCAGCGGGGAGGCGUUACCCACAGAAGAAGCACCGGCUAACUCCGUGCCAGCAGCCGCGGUAAUAC
rnacentral:rRNA from 1 species